rnacentral:lncRNA from 13 species
GUAUUUAGAAUGUAUUUAGCUAACAUUCCUCUAGCCUGGGUACCAGUCUGUUUAGCUAACAUUCCUCUAGCCUGGGUACCAGUCUGUUUACCUGACAUUCCUCUAUCCUUGGUACCAAUCUGUUUAUCCAACAUUCCUCUAGCCUGGGUACCAGUCUGUUUAGCCAACAUUCAUCUAGCCUGGGUACCAGUCUGUUUCGAAACAUUCAUCUAGCCUGGGUACCAGUCUGUUUAGCCAACAUUCCUCUAGCCUGGGUACCAGUCUGUUUACCUGACAUUCCUCUAGCCUGGGUACCAAUCUGUUUAUCCAACAUUCCUCUAGACUGGGUACCAGUCUGUUUAGCCAACAUUCAUCUAGCCUGGGUACCAGUCUGUUUCGAAACAUUNNNNNNNNNNACACGUUACAAUGAUGGAAUACUUGAUCAGCAGUUUGAUCAGCUGGGCUGAUUGAUGUUGUUGACUUACCGAAGUGUUAAAACAAAAACAAAAACUAACAGCAUUAUGAUUACAGUCACAAUCCAAAUCCAUACACAGCCAGACCGAUGGUUGCAUGUCCAUUUGUUCACAUGCAGAUAAUUGCCCAGAUAAUAUGGAUGAGGAUGAAUACAGUGUCGACACAGAGAUAAUAUGCAGUAAGGGGAUGUAGUGUAACAGUGGGCUACCAGAUAUCAUUCAUCUUUAUUUCUUCUUCCCCAGUGUCCAAAAGAAGUCUCUCCCCCUCUGCCUUUCUGUCAAAACCAGGUCACUGUUGCCAGCACCAUGCUAGUGGCCUCCAACGGUCUCUAUGCUGCCGCAGCCACACAGCUGAGCCCCGAGCAGCGAUAGGAGAGGAGAGGCCAGACGCCACAGAACACAGAGCAGUGGUCACUAAAGCUGUACCCCUUUUCUCUCUGUCCCUCUCUUUCUCUGCUCUGCUCUCCACGAGUCCAGCCUAUGAGUCCUUAUCUCCACGGUGCAAACACACUGACCUGGAGCCUCUCAGCUGGCACUGUCGGCCUGGGGGGAGGCGAGUGGAGACGAGGAGGUAGUGGGUGAGGGAUAAAGAGGGACGACGGGACGGGGAGGAGGGGGAGGAAGGGGCGCUUCAAUGGUAGAGUUCCAGAGGUCCAAAUUGGAUCUGGUAAUGGCUGGUCGAUGGCGACAGAGGAGGGUCGUUAAAACCAGUAC